rnacentral:rRNA from 1 species
AUGAACGCUGGCGGCGUGCCUCAUCCCUGCAAGUCGCGCGAACAGACGAGGAGCUUGCUCCUCUGACGUUAGCGGCGGACGGGUGAGUAACACGUGGAUAACCUACCUAUAAGACUGGGAUAACUUCGGGAAACCGGAGCUAAUACCGGAUAAUAUAUUGAACCGCAUGGUUCAAUAGUGAAAGACGGUUUUGCUGUCACUUAUAGAUGGAUCCGCGCCGCAUUAGCUAGUUGGUAAGGUAACGGCUUACCAAGGCAACGAUGCGUAGCCGACCUGAGAGGGUGAUCGGCCACACUGGAACUGAGACACGGUCCAGACUCCUACGGGAGGCAGCAGUAGGGAAUCUUCCGCAAUGGGCGAAAGCUUGACGGAGCAACGCCGCGUGAGUGAUGAAGGUCUUCGGAUCGUAAAACUCUGUUAUUAGGGAAGAACAAAUGUGUAAGUAACUAUGCACGUCUUGACGGUACCUAAUCAGAAAGCCACGGCUAACUACGUG